CCUACGGGUGGCAGCAGUGAGGAAUAUUGGUCAACGGGCGGAAGCCUGAACCAGCCAAGUAGCGUGCAGGAUGACGGCCCUACGGGUUGUAAACUGCUUUUAUACGGGAAUAACGCGCCUUACGUGUAGGGCUUUGCAUGUACCGUAUGAAUAAGGACCGGCUAAUUCCGUGCCAGCAGCCGCGGUAAUACGGAAGGUCCGGGCGUUAUCCGGAUUUAUUGGGUUUAAAGGGAGCGUAGGCCGCAUGUCAAGCGUGCUGUGAAAUGCCGGGGCUCAACCCGGGCCCUGCAGCGCGAACUGGCGUGCUUGAGUGCGCGGAACGCAGGCGGAAUUCGUGGUGUAGCGGUGAAAUGCUUAGAUAUGACGAAGAACCCCGAUUGCGAAGGCAGCUUGCGGCAGCGGUACUGACGCUGAUGCUCGAAGGCGCGGGUAUCGAACAGGAUUAGAUACCCGUGUAGUC
rnacentral:rRNA from 1 species